rnacentral:rRNA from 1 species
UACGGGGGGGGCAAGCGUUUGUUCGGAAUUACUGGGCGUAAAGGGUUUGUAGGUGGCCCGCUAAGUCACACGUGAAAUCCCUCAGCUUAACUGGGGAACUGCGUGUGAGACUGGCAGGCUCGAGGGCAGGAGAGGAACGCGGAAUUCCAGGUGUAGCGGUGAAAUGUGUAGAGAUCGGGAGGAACACCGGUGGCGAAGGCGGGUCUCUGGGCAAUUCCUGACGCUGAGGCGCGAAAGCGUGGGGAGCAAACAGG